rnacentral:rRNA from 1 species
ACAGAGACCUCAAGCGUUAUUCGGAUUUACUGGGCGUAAAGGGUGCGCAGGCGGCCAAGUGUGUCGGAGGUGAAAUCUUGCAGCUUAACUGUAAAAUUGCCUACGAAACUACUUGGCUAGAGUAUCGGAGAGGAUAGCGGAAUUCCAGGUGUAGCAGUGAAAUGCGUAGAUAUCUGGAGGAACACCAAUGGCGAAGGCAGCUAUCUGGACGAUUACUGACGCUCAGGCACGAAAGCAUGGGGAGCGAAAGGG